ensembl:snoRNA U3 Small nucleolar RNA U3
AAGACUAUACUUUCAGGGAUCAUUUCUAUAGUUUGUUACUAGAAAAGUUUCUCUGAACAUGUAGAGCAAAAAAAAAGU